GUCAAUGUCAACGGCGCCCCCUGGAGCCAGAGACAGAAAGAAGUAUGGCUUCAGAGAGAAGUGAUUGCACUUGGUGGUGAAGCUGAGCCCAUCAAGGGAAGUGAUUUGCCCAAGGAAACAUGGAGGUAGCAGGGCCAGGGCUCAUUUUCCAAGUGGGGACUGGUGUCUGCACCUCUUGGAGCCACCUGCUGCAGUUUUGCCCGGGGGCAGAUUCUGUUCCCUCCUUCACCAGGAUAAUCUAGAACUGGGUUUGUGAAAAGGCCAGAAGCUACAGGACUGAAGCCGACCCAUGGAUGGAAACAGGAUGGUUUGAAACAGGCCAGCACCAUCCUUCCCCAGAGCCAACAGAGGGACUGUGGAGAAAAUAAGUGAAGAGGAACCAGGGAACACCACAGAACCAGGGUCCAUGAGGGCCGGAACUGCAUUUCUUUCCCCAAACACAAAGCCUUGUACACCUCUGCCUGGAGUUCAUGAAUCAAGAGCACAGCUCACAUAGCCCAUCAAUGUAUUCUCUAUGACAUGCCAACAUCUAAUCUCAUGACGGUGACAGGUAGGGACUGGUACAGGUUCACAAAGACUAACAGACUUGGGACAAAAUUCAAGAUCAGGGCUCCCA